CGGUGGCAGGUUGACUGGCGUGUGCGCUGCGCCGAACUGUGCCGGGCGCAGGGCCCGGCCCGCAGGAGGACUCGGGAACGCGCAACUCUGGGGGGCGGAAGCUGAGGGGGAGCGUCCGCCCAGCGCCAGGGAAGCUGCCUGGGGUGCAGACAGCCUCAGGGCGCCCCCGCACCGGUACCUCACAGAAAGGGAGGAGCGGCGCGCGGGGCAAGCCCGGAGCACCGUGGAUGGUGACAGCCUGAACGGACAAAGGACCGAGGCCAGACCACAGGGCAAAGCCGAACUCUGCAAGGGCCAAGCAGAGAAAGCCAAGUCGGCUCCCUGACCAACCACACAGACGCGCCCUUCUGGUCCCCGCCUCCAGCGUCCCUGUGCUGAGGACCACCAGUCCGGGCACACCUGAGGCCUCCGCCUUUUUCCACUACGAAGCACCUGUGGGAGGAAGCAGGUGGCGUGAGACUCAGGGCUCCAGGCCCCAGUUCCUGAGUGCCUGUGGUGUGACAGUUCCCGAGGAUGUGACACCAAGCCCCUGGGGUACGGAGCCUGCAUUCUGCAGAGGAAGAGAGACAGCAAGCAAUAAACACUCAGAUAGAGAAAAGAGGCCGGGUUGGGGGGGUGCUGGAUACAGCGGAGGGGGGACUUCCUCUAACUCAGGUGGUGAGGGAACCCUCUCUGAAGGACAGCUGUGGCUUUCUUCCUCUGCGGCUAAGGUGACUCCUGAGAACCAGGGGGCUUUACCCUCUGAGGCUGCGCAGCAGCCCCCCUCUCCUUCCCUGGUGCCAGCAGCCAUCCCCCGUCGCAUCCAGCACAGGACUGCCCCACGUUGCCCCCAUCAGCCAUGCACUGUGUUCUCGAGGCACCAGAAGGACAGACAGGCAGCUGGGCAUCAACCCAUGGGGACAAAGAGAGGACAUGAGGCAGCAGCCCCCCAGGACCCGGGUGCUUUGGGGGGCCCCAAGAUUGGUUUAUGAAACACCACAAAGCACCAGCCUGGAUGUGUGUUUACCGACUGGCAGUCCACAAGUCAAGGAAUAUAGCUCAGCUUUGGAAAGAGAGCCGUGUGACAUGGGGCCGAUUAUUUAAGCUCUUUAAGCCUCACUUUCAGAACGUGGAAACUGAGAUGCAAAAAGUAGUCACCUCGGGGCUGGCCCCGUGGCUGAGUGGUUAAGUUCGCGCGCUCCGUUGCAGGCGGCCCAGUGUUUCGUUGGUUCGAAUCCUGGGCGCGGACAUGGCACUGCUCAUGAGACCACGCUGAGGCGGCGUCCCACAUGCCACAACUAAAAAAAAGGACCCACAACAAAGAAUAUACAACUAUGUACCGGGGGGCUUUGGGGAGAAAAAGGGGAAAAAAUAAAAAAAUCUUU
rnacentral:lncRNA from 1 species